UCGACCCCACCCCAGGUCGGCGGGAAUACCCCCUAAUUUA
rnacentral:rRNA from 1 species